rnacentral:rRNA from 1 species
GGUUUCCGUAGGUGAGCCUGCGGAAGGAUCAUUACCGAUGUAAUCCAAAAGCACGACUCCGUCGUGACUACCGUGUGAACCGUACCAAACUAUUCAGGGGUCGGCCAGUCCGUUAAAUGGCGGUCGGACGCGUGCAUUGCGCGCGGCCGCUCCGCCAGCCCCGCCUGUGUUUUUUAACAUACGUGUCUUGUCUGAAAACGUGACCACUAGCGUGGUCCAGAGCAGAGAAAGAGAGAGACAACUUUUGACGGUGGAUCUCUUGGCUCACGCAUCGAUGAAGAACGCAGCCAGCUGCGAUAAGUAGUGUGAAUUGCAGAAUUCAGUGAAUCAUCGAAUCUUUGAACGCAAAUGGCGCUCUUGGGUUCUCCCAGGAGCAUGUCUGUCUGAGUGUCGGAUAUCAUCCAACGCACCUAGCCGUGCGGCGUUGAGGCGUCACGGCCCUCCUGGCGGCCGUGUCCCUUGAAAGUCAGCGAGACUCGCCGCGGCACGGGUUCGUUCCCUGCACACUCGCGGAGGCUAAAAACGCUUUUGCCCUUCGCGUGCACGGGAACGGCCCGCCCGCCGAGUCGCGGAGGCGAAAUAUGUUAACUCUUGACCUCAGAUCAG